GCCAGACGUUGUUCUGAAGAUAACAGACAGUUUUGUGGAGAAGAUAUCGACAACUUCAAAAAAUGUCACUGCAGAGAUAUCAAAGUCAAAUUUGUAUUUAAAAAUGGGACCAGUGCAAUCCUGUAGCGAAGCUCUGAAUUUCCCUGAACGUGAAAAAGAAGGUGUCUCAGAGUGGGCUAGACCAAGGAAGGACAAACUUUUGAUUGACUGUGACAGCACUGUUGAAUCUUUUAGUGGAAUAAUAUACAGAAAUCUUUCAAUGAUUAUACCGUCUUUUACGAACAGCAC